GACAGAGGGUGCAAACGUUGCUCGGAUUUACUGGGCGUAAAGCGCGUGUAGGCGGCUUUGCAAGUCGGAUGUGAAAUCCCACGGCUCAACCGUGGAAGUGCAUCCGAAACUGCAUCGCUGGAGUCUCGGAGAGGAAGGUGGAAUGCUUGGUGUAGAGGUGAAAUUCGUAGAUAUCAAGCAGAACACCUGCGGCGAAGGCGGCCUUCUGGACGAUGACUGACGCUGAGACGCGAAAGCGUGGGGAGCAAACAGG
rnacentral:rRNA from 1 species